rnacentral:lncRNA from 1 species
UCCUUGCUCUGAAGGCUUCCCAGAUGGUCUUGCCCAGGUUGUCAGGUGCUCCUCUGAGUGAUGGGUUAAGAGGAAGCGGCUGCGGUGUGGGGCUGUAGGGGACCAGCUGUUCCAGCUGGCUCAUCACUGAGGAGUUCCCAGAUGCACCACAUUGGUGCUAAACUCAGAAAGUCCUGGGCAACCCCAAACAAGUUGGUCAUUCGGGCGGGGUUCCAGCCGCUUUUCAGGAUUCACCUUGCGGAACCCGCAGUGGUGGUCGUGUUAUCUACCCAUUGUAAAGAAGAAACGAAGGUUGGAAGAGGCUAAACAAGCUGCCCAAACUAUCCGGUUGGGGAGGGAAGAAUGGACAUUUGAAUUUAGGACUGCCGGACCCAUGCUCUUUCCCCUGGAUGCCUCUGAGGUUGAGAGAUGGGAAGCGGCCUUCACCGGUGUGAAUCUGUGAUGCCCAAACGAUGCUGCAUGGGCAGAUUGGGAAUUGUUGGUGUUGGGGAAAGGACAGCCUGGGAACCUGAGAACCCGAGAGCCGUCCCUGGCCCCCUAGAAGGUGAGCACAAACAUCCUGGACCUCGCUUUCCUCUCUAUAGUGUGGGCAUAAUGAUAUAUUUGCUGUCUGCUGGUAAGAUUGUUCUGAGAUUUGAUUAACCUGCUGUAGCAAAAAUAAAUAUGCGAAACAAGAAUGAAACAAACAAAACCAAGGAGGAUGCCUAGUUAAAUCUGAAUUUCAGAUAAUGAAUAAUUUCUGAGUAUUAACAUGCCCCAUGCAAUAUUUUACCUGCAUUUUGUCUGGCAGCCUACCUGAGAUGAACACGCAGAAGUGACUUUGAAAUGGGUUCUGGCCAGAGGGUCCUGGGGCCCCAGCUGGCUCUUUCCUUUUGGUGAGAGAGGGCUCCUUGCUCUAGUGGAGAUGAGAGCUUGUCCAUCCUUGGACUUGAGAUAGUCCCUCAAGCACCAACAAGCGAAGAAGGAGGAGCCACUGUACAGAGGGAGGAGGUGGGGUGCACCGCUAUUUACUGAGCACCUAUUGUGUCCUAGGCGGUUGGUAAACACCCAGUCUCUAUGUGUGCC